rnacentral:rRNA from 1 species
GUAGGUGGCAAGCGUUGUCCGGAAUUAUUGGGCGUAAAGCGCGCGCAGGCGGGUUCUUUAAGUCUGAUGUGAAAGCCCACGGGCUCAACCGUGGAGGGUCAUUGGAAACUGGAGAACUUGAGUACAGAAGAGGAAAGCGGAAUUCCACGUGUAGCGGUGAAAUGCGUAGAGAUGUGGAGGAACACCAGUGGCGAAGGCGGCUUUCUGGUCUGUAACCGACGCUGAGGCGCGAAAGCGUGGGGAGCAAACAGGAUUAGAUACCCUGGUAGUCCACGCCGUAAACGAUGAGUGCUAAGUGUUAGGGGGUUUCCGCCCCUUAGUGCUGCAGCUAACGCAUUAAGCACUCCGCCUGGGGAGUACGGCCGCAAAGGCUG